rnacentral:rRNA from 1 species
UACGGAGGGAGCUAGCGUUGUUCGGAAUUACUGGGCGUGAAGCGCACGUAGGCGGCUUUGUAAGUUAGAGGUGAAAGCCCGGGGCUCAACUCCGGAACUGCCUUUAAGACUGCAUCGCUUGAAUCCGGGAGAGGUGAGUGGAAUUCCGAGUGUAGAGGUGAAAUUCGUAGAUAUUCGGAAGAACACCAGUGGCGAAGGCGGCUCACUGGACCGGUAUUGACGCUGAGGUGCGAAAGCGUGGGGAGCAAACAGG